rnacentral:sRNA from 1 species
AUGGCUGUCGUCAGCUCGUGUCGUGAGAUGUUGGGUUAAGUCCCGCAACGAGCGCAACCCUCGUUCUAUGUUGCCAGCGGGUAAUGCCGGGAACUCAUAGGAGACUGCCGGGGUCAACUCGGAGGAAGGUGGGGAUGACGUCAAGUCCUCAUGCCCCUUAUAUCUUGGGCUGCAAACAUGCUACAAUGGCCGGUACAGAGGGCUGCGAGACCGCAAGGUGGAGCGAAUCUCAAAAAGCCGGUCUCAGUUCGGAUUGGGGUCUGCAACUCGACCCCAUGAAGUCGGAGUCGCUAGUAAUCGCGAAUCAGCAACGUCGCGGUGAAUACGUUCCCGGGCCUUGUACACACCGCCCGUCACGUCACGAAAGUUGGCAACACCCGAAGCCAGUGGCCUAACCCGUAAGGGAGGGAGCUGUCGAAGGUGGGGCCAGCGAUUGGGACGAAGUCGUAACAAGGUAGCCGUACCGGAAGGUGCGGCUGGAUCACCUCCUUUCUAAGGAGCACCUGGCGCGAGUGUCGGCUAGUCCGGCAAACGCGUCCAGAGCCAUAUCUCAGGCGAGUGAUCUGAGGUGGCAGCUCGUUAGUGGAGCACUGGUUAUUCGGUCCGGGUGUCUGCCCGGGUCGGCUAGUACGGCCGCUUUGCGGCACGGAACGUCGGUCCCAGGAGGCGCACAGGCCGAGCACGCUGUUGAGUCCUGAGGGAACGGCCGAAGGUUGGGCACCUCAUCUGGACCAUGUUCCCGCAGCCAGCUGGCUAGCGGGAAUGUGUGUACCGCCCGUACUUUGAGAACUGCACAGUGGACGCGAGCAUCAUCUGUAGUUGCCAAGUUAAUAAGGGCACACGGUGAAUGCCUUGGUACCAGGAGCCGAUGAAGGACGUAGGAGCCUGCGAUAAGCCCCGGGGAGUCGGCAACCAGACUUAGAUCCGGGGAUUUCCGAAUGGGGAAACCCGG